UACGAAGGGGGCUAGCGUUGCUCGGAAUCACUGGGCGUAAAGCGCACGUAGGCGGCUUGUUAAGUCAGGGGUGAAAUCCUGGAGCUCAACUCCAGAACUGCCUUUGAUACUGGCGAGCUUGAGUUCGGGAGAGGUGAGUGGAACUGCGAGUGUAGAGGUGAAAUGCGUAGAUAUCGGAAGGAACGCCGGUGGCGAAAGCGGCUCACUGGAUCUCUUCUGACGCUGAGGCACGAAAGCUAGGGUAGCGAACAGG
rnacentral:rRNA from 1 species